AAUCCAUGUUGUGGGCAUCUCCACAAAAGAUCCUUGAAGUGCUCCCAUGUCUCAAACAAUGAUUCCAAUUCCAUCUGGUACAAAUGACGAUAUCCCAUUGUGAAACU